AGUCGAACGAACCUUCGGGUUAGUGGCGGACGGGUGAGUAACGCGUGAGAAUCUGCCCUCAGGAGGGGGAUAACGGUUGGAAACGACCGCUAAUACCCCACAUGCCGAUAGGUGAAAUGAAUUUCGCCUGAGGAUGAGCUCGCGUCUGAUUAGCUUGUUGGUGAGGUAAUGGCUCACCAAGGCUUCGAUCAGUAGCUGGUCUGAGAGGAUGAUCAGCCACACUGGGACUGAGACACGGCCCAGACUCCUACGGGAGGCAGCAGUGGGGAAUUUUCCGCAAUGGGCGAAAGCCUGACGGAGCAACGCCGCGUGAGGGACGAAGGCCUCUGGGCUGUAAACCUCUUUUCUCAAGGAAGAAGAUAUGACGGUACUUGAGGAAUAAGCCACGGCUAAUUCCGUGCCAGCAGCCGCGGUAAUACGGGAGUGGCAAGCGUUAUCCGGAAUUAUUGGGCGUAAAGCGUCCGCAGGCGGCCUUUCAAGUCUGCUGUUAAAGCGUGGAGCUUAACUCCAUUAUGGCAGUGGAAACUGAUCGGCUUGAGUAUGGUAGGGGCAGAGGGAGUUCCCGGUGUAGCGGUGAAAUGCGUAGAUAUCGGGAAGAACACCAGUGGCGAAGGCGCUCUGCUGGGCCAUUACUGACGCUCAUGGACGAAAGCCAGGGGAGCGAAAGGGAUUAGAUACCCCUGUAGUCCUGGCCGUAAACGAUGAACACUAGGUGUCGGGGGAAUCGACCCCUUCGGUGUCGUAGCUAACGCGUUAAGUGUUCCGCCUGGGGAGUACGCACGCAAGUGUGAAACUCAAAGGAAUUGACGGGGGCCCGCACAAGCGGUGGAGUAUGUGGUUUAAUUCGAUGCAACGCGAAGAACCUUACCAGGGUUUGACAUCCUGAGAACCUCUUAGAAAUUUGAGGGUGCCUUCGGGAAUUCAGUGACAGGUGGUGCAUGGCUGUCGUCAGCUCGUGUCGUGAGAUGUUGGGUUAAGUCCCGCAACGAGCGCAACCCACGUUUUUAGUUGCCAGCAUUUAGUUGGGCACUCUAGAAAGACCGCCGGUGAUAAACCGGAGGAAGGUGUGGAUGACGUCAAGUCAUCAUGCCCCUUACACCCUGGGCUACACACGUACUACAAUGCUACGGACAAAGGGCAGCAAACUCGCGAGAGCUAGCAAAUCCCAUAAACCGUGGCUCAGUUCAGAUCGUAGGCUGCAACUCGCCUACGUGAAGUAGGAAUCGCUAGUAUCGCAGGUCAGCAUACUGCGGUGAAUACGUUCCCGGGCCUUGCACACACCGCCCGUC
rnacentral:rRNA from 1 species